rnacentral:rRNA from 1 species
AGAGUUUGAUCCUGGCUCAGGAUGAACGCUAGCGGCAGACUUAAUACAUGUGAGUCGAGGGGCAGCGGAUCCCUCCGGGGAUGCCGGCGACCGGCGAACGGGUGAGUAACACGUAUGGAACCUGCCCUUAACUGGGAAAUAGCUUUGAGAAAUCGAAGGUAAUGUCCCAUACCAUCUGAAGAAGGCAUCUUUUUCAGAUGAAAGCUCCGGCGGUUAAGGAUGGCCACGCGGUCCAUUAGCUUGUUGGUGAGAUAACCGCUCACCAAGGCUGCGAUGGAUAGCUGAUCUGAGAGGAUGAUCAGCCACAUUGGCACUGAGACACGGGCCAAACUCCUACGGGAGGCAGCAGUAGGGAAUCUUGGUCAAUUGGCGAAAGCCAGAACCAGUCAUGCCGCGUGCAGGAUGAAGGCCCUACGGGUCGUAAACUGCUUUUAUUCGGGAAGAAAAAGUCUGUUUCCACAGACCUUGACGGUACCGAUUGAAUAAGGACCGGCCAACUCCGUGCCAGCAGCCGCGGUAAUACGGAGGGUCCAAGCGUUAUCCGGAUUCACUGGGUUUAAAGGGUGCGCAGGCGGCUAAGUAAGUCAGUGGUGAAAGCCUUCGGCUCAACCGGAGAAUUGCCAUUGAAACUACUUAGCUUGAGUGCAGUAGAGGUAGGCGGAAUGUAGCAUGUAGCGGUGAAAUGCAUAGAUAUGCUACAGAACACCGAUAGCGAAAGCAGCUUACCACACUGUAACUGACGCUGAGGCACGAAAAGCAUGGGUA